GAAUCUUACUCGGAGAAUGGUCCUAAGUCAAGUUGCAGGCAUAUAUGAUCCUCUUGGGCUGGUUGCUCCAUGUGUAUUGUCUUCAAAAAUUCUCAUGAGAAGUUUAUAUUCCAGAAAGGUUCAGGAUGGAUGGGAUAAACCUAUGAGUGAAGAUAUUAGGGCCAAAUGGGUUCAAUUCUUUCGGGGGCUCUAUGAAUUACAAACUUUGACAUUCAAAAGGUGUCUUAUGCCAGAUAAUGCUGAAGGUGAUCCAGUUCUUGUUAUAUUUUCUGAUGGAAGUCAACAAGCAUAUGGUGCAUGUGCUUAUAUCAGAUGGCACACUAACAAUAACACAUAUGAAUCAAGCCUAGUGAUCGCAAAAAAUCGAAUCGCACCAGUAAAGCAAUUGUCUACCCCUCGUCUUGAAUUGUGUGGAGCAGUACUUGCAUCUAGACUUCGUCGAAAACUCAUAACAGAAAUGAGUUUUAGAUUUAGCAAAAUUGUGCACAUAAUUGAUUCCAUGAUUGUCAGAGCACAGAUACAACGAGAGAGUUAUGGGUUUGGGACAUUUGUUGCCACACGUGUUGCUGAAAUACAGAGUAUUACAGAUCCUACUGAAUGGUGGUGGGCGCAGGGAGAUCACAAUCCUGCAGACAUGACUACAAGAGUUGCGCCAGCAAGUGCUCUGGGGGCUGACUCCAAGUGGCAAAAAGGUCCAGAUUUCUUGAGAACUCCAUUUGAACUAUGGCCAAUAAGUCAAGAAAACACCUUGGAUAAUGAUCAAAUACCUGACAUUAUUGGAGUCACAAUGUCGGCUACCUCUGAUAAUCACACUAUCCAUAGCAGUACUAUCAUAGACAUUGAUCGAUUUUCCAGCUUGAGGAAACUACUUCGAGUGACGGGCAUUAUUCUGUCCAUUGUUCACUGGAGGACCUUUAGGGGUAUUUUUGACAAAAUCAAGUCGGAAACAUCAGUGGAAGCAGAGACGUGGUGGGUAAAGUUUGCACAAAAGGAAUUACCUAAGGACUGCAUGAAGAAAUUUCAGAGACUCGGACCAUUUAUUAAUCAAGAUGGGAUUGUAUGUGUUGGACAACGCAUGGCCGAAUGGAUCAAACAAUCAUGGAAUCAGAGGGAAUUCUUUUUAUUGCCAAGAAAGGGUCGUUUUACCCAGUUAGUUGUUCGCAGUGUUCACUGUGAAGAUCAUGCAGGAUUAGAGGUGACCUUGGCAAAGAUAAGAAGUAGAUACUGAAUUCCCUGUGUUCUGAAGAUCAUAAAACGAAUUAAAGAUAAUUGUGUUAUAUGUAGAAAACGGGAUAAGGUAACAAUACAACAGCAGAUGGGUGUCUUACCUUCCUACAGACUUCACCCAUCACCACCAUUUUACAACUGUGCCAUUGACAUAUUUGGACCAUUCACUAUACGUGACACGGUUAAAAAACGAACACAUGGAAAGGCAUAUGGUGUAUUGUUUAAUUGCCUUAACUGCAGGGGUGUUUACAUUGAUUUGGCUGAAGGUUACGACACAGGGAAUUUCAUUGUUGUCUUCAGAAGAUUUGUUUCUAUUCGUGGCAAUCCAAAGCGAAUAAUUUCUGAUGCAGGCACACAACUAGUAGCUGCAGGAAAGGAACUUAAGAAGUAUGAUGUAGAGUGGAAUGUCAUCAAAUCUGCAGAUGCUCCAUGAGAGAAUGGGUGUAGUGAAUCGUUGAUCAAGUCUGUAAAGAGAUGCUUGCAAAUUGCAGUUGGGGAUUCAAUUUUGACUUUUCGGAAUUGCAAAGUGUAUUAUUUGAAGUCGCAAACUUGAUCAAUGAGAGACCUAUUGGAACCAAAGUGUGUGACCCAAAUGAAGGAACAUACUUAUGCCCAAAUGAUUUAUUGUUGGGUAGAUCUAGUGUGCGAUUUCUUCAAAUGCAAAUGGAUGACAGGUGCAAUCCACGUCUGAGAUGGAAAUUUAUUCAGCAGGUAGUGGAUACUUUUUGGAGGAGGUGGAUUAGGGAUUAUUUUCCCACUCUUAUUGUCAGGCAGAAAUGGCAUACUAGCAGGAGGAACUUGGAACGAGGUGACCUGGUGUUAGUUCAAGAUACAAACAUUAUUCGCGGAAAAUGGAAGCUUGCUCAAGUUACUGAGGCUAAGCCAGGAAAAGAUGGAAAAGUACGAGAUGUUACAGUGCAAUACAAAAAUAUAGGCCCAGGUGCAAAAUAUGUCGGAUGUACUGGAACUCUCGUUCGCAGAUCUGUUCACAGACUUGUAGUAAUACUACCGAUUGAGGACUGUAAUUAGUUGUGAACGUGUUAAGUAAUGUCGGGGGGAGUGUAUCGUUUACGAUAUUCCGGAAAUAUUAGAAUCGGACAUGAAUGGUUUUCUUUUAUAGACAUCAACGGAAGUGUACAUGGAUAGAUACUCCCACGUUUUCUCUGAACACACAUAUUGAUAUUGUAGCUCAGUAAAUUUGGAGCCAUCAAAGUGUGAGUUAAAAGUGAUUUAUUUGAGUAUAUGUAAAUAUCUGACAGUCAAAAUUUUGGUUAAGCCUUAGAAUAACAUUGAACAAACUCGUCAAGCCAUGAACAAUUAUGGAAUACUGUUAUCGUCAUAAAUUGAACAAACUUGUCAAGCCAUGAACAAUUAUGGAAUACUGUUAUCAUCAUAAAUUGGCAUUGAUUUAUUGAAAUGUAAUUUUAGGUUGAAACAAUGGAAUAAAUGGUUACAACAG
rnacentral:sRNA from 1 species